rnacentral:rRNA from 1 species
CUGCGGCAGCUACACAUGCAAGUCGAGCGGUAGCACAGAGAGCUUGCUCUCGGGUGACGAGCGGCGGACGGGUGAGUAAUGUCUGGGAAACUGCCUGAUGGAGGGGGAUAACUACUGGAAACGGUAGCUAAUACCGCAUAAUGUCGCAAGACCAAAGAGGGGGACCUUCGGGCCUCUUGCCAUCAGAUGUGCCCAGAUGGGAUUAGCUAGUAGGUGGGGUAACGGCUCACCUAGGCGACGAUCCCUAGCUGGUCUGAGAGGAUGACCAGCCACACUGGAACUGAGACACGGUCCAGACUCCUACGGGAGGCAGCAGUGGGGAAUAUUGCACAAUGGGCGCAAGCCUGAUGCAGCCAUGCCGCGUGUAUGAAGAAGGCCUUCGGGUUGUAAAGUACUUUCAGCGGGGAGGAAGGUGUUGAGGUUAAUAACCUCAGCAAUUGACGUUACCCGCAGAAGAAGCACCGGCUAACUCCGUGCCAGCAGCCGCGGUAAUACGGAGGGUGCAAGCGUUAAUCGGAAUUACUGGGCGUAAAGCGCACGCAGGCGGUCUGUCAAGUCGGAUGUGAAAUCCCCGGGCUCAACCUGGGAACUGCAUUCGAAACUGGCAGGCUAGAGUCUUGUAGAGGGGGGUAGAAUUCCAGGUGUAGCGGUGAAAUGCGUAGAGAUCUGGAGGAAUACCGGUGGCGAAGGCGGCCCCCUGGACAAAGACUGACGCUCAGGUGCGAAAGCGUGGGGAGCAAACAGGAUUAGAUACCCUGGUAGUCCACGCCGUAAACGAUGUCGACUUGGAGGUUGUGCCCUUGAGGMGUGGCUUCCGGAGCUAACGCGUUAAGUCGACCGCCUGGGGAGUACGGCCGCAAGGUUAAAACUCAAAUGAAUUGACGGGGGCCCGCACAAGCGGUGGAGCAUGUGGUUUAAUUCGAUGCAACGCGAAGAACCUUACCUACUCUUGACAUCCAGAGAACUUUCCAGAGAUGGAUUGGUGCCUUCGGGAACUCUGAGACAGGUGCUGCAUGGCUGUCGUCAGCUCGUGUUGUGAAAUGUUGGGUUAAGUCCCGCAACGAGCGCAACCCUUAUCCUUUGUUGCCAGCGGUCCGGCCGGGAACUCAAAGGAGACUGCCAGUGAUAAACUGGAGGAAGGUGGGGAUGACGUCAAGUCAUCAUGGCCCUUACGAGUAGGGCUACACACGUGCUACAAUGGCGCAUACAAAGAGAAGCGACCUCGCGAGAGCAAGCGGACCUCAUAAAGUGCGUCGUAGUCCGGAUUGGAGUCUGCAACUCGACUCCAUGAAGUCGGAAUCGCUAGUAAUCGUAGAUCAGAAUGCUACGGUGAAUACGUUCCCGGGCCUUGUACACACCGCCCGUCACACCAUGGGAGUGGGUUGCAAAAGAAGUAGGUAGCUUAACCUUCGGGAGGGCGCUACCCACUUUGUAUUACGGGC